rnacentral:rRNA from 1 species
AGUGAACGCUGGCGGUAGGCCUAACACAUGCAAGUCGAACGGCAGCACAGUAAGAGCUUGCUCUUACGGGUGGCGAGUGGCGGACGGGUGAGGAAUACAUCGGAAUCUACUUUUUCGUGGGGGAUAACGUAGGGAAACUUACGCUAAUACCGCAUACGACCUACGGGUGAAAGCAGGGGAUCUUCGGACCUUGCGCGAUUGAAUGAGCCGAUGUCGGAUUAGCUAGUUGGCGGGGUAAAGGCCCACCAAGGCGACGAUCCGUAGCUGGUCUGAGAGGAUGAUCAGCCACACGGGAACUGAGACACGGUCCAGACUCCUACGGGAGGCAGCAGUGGGGAAUAUUGGACAAUGGGCGCAAGCCUGAUCAAGCCAGACCGCGUGGGUGAAGAAGGCCUUCGGGUUGUAAAGCCCUUUUGUUGGGAAAGAAAAGCAGCAGGUUAAUACCCCGCUGUUCUGACGGUACCCAAAGAAUAAGCACCGGCUAACUUCG